AUAAUUUUGAUUCUUUUAAAAGUAAAUGAAAUUCUACGUUUAAUUGGAUGUUGACCAAUUUUGAAUACAAAUUUUUGGUGAUAUUGUAACUUAAAGCAAUAUGAGCUAUAUAUAUCUUUUUAGAAUUUUAUUUUGCUGCAAAAACCUGCUAGUACAUAAAAGGUCUGCAUAUAACUUAAACUUUUAUGAUAAAAAAGACUUGAAAAAAUCAUUGAUUUUUGUUUAAGGAAUAUAUAACAGAUCAAUUUUUGUACAUGACGACAAUAAUUCAAUUUUGCCCCGAUUAAGGCUUCUCAACGGCUUUUCCCACAAUAAAAUGCAAACAGAAAUUUAAAAAAAAAAUUUCAACAUGAAAAUUGCAGCUCAUAUUGCUUUAACUAUUUAGCAUAGAUUCCACAUAGCUUGACGCAACAAUGUGUGGAGACAGUUUGCAAUGUGCAUGCGCAAUAGUUACACCACUUAUCGUAAAUAUUAUACUCUAUACAAGAGUAAUCUCCCGUUUGGUUGUUUUAAGAACUUUAUAGUGAAUUGCAGAACGCAAUAUUCUUUGUUUUUGUUGCUUGUUAAUGAAAAUAAGAUUCGUUCCCAAUAAAAGGGGAAAAC
rnacentral:sRNA from 1 species